rnacentral:rRNA from 1 species
GUCUACAGCCAUGCUACCCUGAACAAGCCCGAUCCCGUCUGAUCUCGGAAGCUAAGCAGGGUCAGGCCUGGUUAGUACUAGGCUGGAGACCACUUAGACAGACCAGGUACUGAAGGCU